GCAUAAGCCCUAUCUCCAUCUUCAAUCUUCUCAAAAGAAAAGUUAUUUUCUUUUGUCCUUCAUCUUUAUGCAUAGGCCCUAUCUCCAUCUUCAAUCUUCUUCAGCUGUUGCCUACACCAGCUCGCCGUCAGCCACACUUUAUUGUGACUGUUAGUCAUACACUAUCGCUUGUUGUCUUGCAUCGUUCGUUUAGAUCCGUCACCAAGCUGUGCCUACCUUGCAAUUUUGGAACUGAGCCUAGCUGAGCAUUUAAUGGGUUGCGUCGUGUCGCUCGCAUCCACCGUUCAGAGUCACACUGCCCUCUGUCGCUGCUGGCCUUGUCGAAACUGUGGAUUGAGGUCGUUUUUAGUUUUUCGAUGAGUUUCAUGGGUUUUAUUGAAUUUCUUUUAUAACUCUUUAAGUGUAAACCCUGGAAAUAAAAAAUUCCUAAGUCAUUUAAGGAACUCAAGAGAAGAUUAAAGAUUGAGGUUAGUUGGAGAAUUUUAUUAGGAUUUGAUGGUUAAGAUCAAGUGUUAGGAAAGUUGGGUCAUUGUUUUUAAGAUGACAAAAGAAAAGGGUUAGCGUAGCUAAAGUGUGCCUAAGGAAUGUUUAAAUUUUGGCUAAGUAUUGGCUAGGCAUGUAGCAUACUCUAGGUAGCCAAGAGAUCAGUUAAGAGAACCUCUAAGGGUAAAGGAUUGAACGGUCAAAAGGUUAAGGUGUUGUGUGGGAGAGGUGUCAAGAAAACCUCUAUAGGACAAGGCUAGGCAGCCAAAAGCAUGUCAAAAGAACAUUUAAGGAUAAAGUUUUGUCAGGCGUUUAGGUUAGCAUGUAUACUACACUAGCAAGCUAGGUGUUUAGGAAAUGUCAAGAACCUCUAAAAUGGUUAGCAUGUGGCCUUAGGCAUUGUGACCAAGAAGCGCCAUGCGACAAUAGGCCAUGCAAUAAGGAGGGAUGUCAUGCCACUAAGGUGCCAUGCGACCAAGGGAGUGCCUUACGACCAAAGGCCAUGUUGACAAAGGUCAUUAGACCAAAGGCAAUUUGAUCAAAGGUUAGUAUUUGGUAACCUGUUUUUUUGUUGAAAGCAUUGUGAGAUGUUUGAGUGGUUAGGUGAACAAAAGGUCUUAUCCAUUCUAGGCAGCAAGAAUUUACUAAAGUUCCCUCAAGGAAAAGGGGGUAGGCAUCCAAGUACGAACCAACCACUAUGAGGUAAGAUAUGAGGUGGAAUAGAAAUGGAAAAAAUGUAAGGCCCUGAUUGCAUUCUUCCCUACACGAUGAGAUUUCACAUGUUUUCGUUCUAGCUACACGACGAAGACUAGGCAGUGAAUUGCUAUGCAUUUUGAGCAUCCUUCAUCGAGAAUUAGUGACAUCAUCCAUGUAUAAGAAAACUAAGGAUUGGUUUAACUUUUUCGCCUAAUCAAAAUUUAGGAUAAGAAAAUGACAGUGGCACUUGAUGUUCUGGCAUUAGUCGAUUCUCACUGCUGAGCAGAAGUCAUCAUUGCUGCAUGGGAAGUUUCACAAGAGAGGCUUAUAAAUAGAUGAAGGAUGCCUCAUACUUGCUAUGUGAUUUACAUGAGAUACCUUUUUCUUGCUGCAUGAUCUGACAUUGGAAGUCGCGUUAUGCAUUAUGGAAUAGACAAAAAACUUGCUGAAUGUGUUGAGAUUACUCCAAAUAGCUGUAACUCAACAAAAGAGUGUGGUAAACACUCGAGUUGGAAAAAGGUAGCGAAGGACAUCUCACGUUCAACUUGCAGCCUUAAUCACCUAUUGUACCUACGUGAAGGCAUCAACUUGGUAGUGAUCAUUAUCAACUUGCAUAACAUGUCAAAGUUAGGCGCGAAGAGUCAAAAUGUUGUCAUGAGUUAGUAUUUAGUUUCUUUUGAAGGAACAUUGUACUAAAGAUCAAAUGUACUCUAUUAUGGAACAUCAAUGAAGUCUUAUAAUUGAGUUCUCA